UACGUAGGGUGCAAGCGUUAAUCGGAAUUACUGGGCGUAAAGCGUGCGCAGGCGGCUAUGCAAGACAGAUGUGAAAUCCCCGGGCUCAACCUGGGGACUGCAUUUGUGACUGCAUAGCUAGAGUUUGGUAGAGGGGAAUGGAAUUCCGCGUGUAGCAGCGAAAUGCGUAGAUAUGCGGAGGAACACCGAUGGCGAAGGCAAUUCCCUGGACCUGAACUGACGCUCAUGCACGAAAGCGUGCGGAGCAAACAGG
rnacentral:rRNA from 1 species